GCCGGAAUAGCUCAGUCGGUAGAGCAGAGGACUGAAAAUCCUCGUGUCACCAGUUAA
rnacentral:tRNA from 1 species